AAAUUUCCCAUUUUACGAGCGAGGCGGCGAGAAGGUUGUGCGCCGCCGCAACUUCCUUGCCGCGAUCCUCGGCGAUGGCGGGCGACACGCCCACAACAACGAUGUCGGCGGCGGCAACGACGAUGUGAGCGCGAAGGAUCCUCCCCGGCGGUCCACCUCCCAGCUCUCCUCGAUAGUCCAACACAAGCGGCGGCCGGAUGCCAAUAGCGCGGUGGAGUCGCCGCAGCCGCCGCUGGACGAGGCGCCCAACUCACCCGAAGGCAGUAGCACCAGUAGCUGGAGGUUCCCUUUCCCCUUGCCGGCAAGGCAGGCAGGCAGCACCGCCGCAGGAACACUGGCAUGGGCACCAGCGGUGAUGGGAUCUCAGAAUAGAAGAAGGCAGAGGUAAGUACGCACGGGAGAAGGACGUGGUUUGCAUCGUAUCAACUUGUACGUACAUGGCAACAAUAGUAGUGCUUAAAUCAUACAAAGAGAAAGUUAUUAUUUUUUAAUAAUAGAUCUAAUCCAAUGGUGUAAAAUGGCGGAUCCACCAAUUUAAGUGAAAAUCGAUGGUGGGAUUUGAUAAUGCCAUGUGGCGGUCUAGGAGCAUUUGUAGUACACCACGUGGCGGCUUAUGAGCGUUUGUAGUGUUAAAUAGACCAUAGAAUUUAUAUACUAAAUAAAAAUGACUGUCAUAUUCAAACAGAAAUCACUUUGUCUCAAUUUUAUGUAAACUCGCCUAUCACCAUCCUCCGCAAGAUUUUUUUUUCUUUUAUUAUACAUCUAAUUCACCUAUGUAUGUUUAUGGAUAAUAUACGAAGGAAUAAUUUAUAUUGUUGAAAUUA